AGCUGAGUAUUCCUGCUGCUCCCCUCCCCAGAGUGGAUCCUCGGGGACAACCAGCUUCCCCUUCAAAGUCUUGCACAGGUAACUGCUUGGCUGUGAAUAUAGAAGAGAUGAUGAAGGCAGAUUCUUGCAUCUCUAUCUAGACUCACCACGAAUGGGUUGCUUUCAGAAACCAACUGACACAGCUAAUCAAAUAAUUCUCUGCCAGACGGCAGGGAGAAAGCAUGGCCCCUGGGAGAAAUGAUGGUGCUGUCACCAAAGGCUGGACUGGUCAGGACCAGUUUGGAUUAAAGCCAGAUACUCUCAAGCACCAUCCUGGAGGCUGGAUCCUUCGUUCUAAGCCUUUUUCCUGGAAAGUAUUAUUGUUAAAAACAAGACAACACAGUCCCCAAAUGGAGUUGCUUAUGCUAAGCCCUACAUCACCAAGCUGAGAUUCAAUUUCACCACAGUUUCAGCCCUCCCGGAAGUGGAAUCUUAACGUAAUCAGGGAUCACCUGCUCAGCACUAGUGAGGCCAUCGCUGAUAGACCCUCACCAGCCCCUGGAGGAAAGUGACGUUGCCAUGACCAAUCCUAGUUUGUCUAGUAUAACUUCCUUGUUCUGCUCCCUUCUGCCUAUAAAAGUCUUUCAUUUCGUACAGAGCCU